GCAGGGGUUCAGAUAAAAAAUCGGCAGCUGGCAGCAGGAAGUGGCUGCCGUUGACAGCCGGAAGGCAGUAACUGACAGCCGGAAGGCAGUAACUGGCAGCCAGAUGGUAGGCGGGACCUGCCGAUCGGUGGGAGCCAAUCAGUAUCGACCAACGUGGGCGCAACCAAUCAGAUAUAACUGCACCCAAACGCUUCAUUAAUGGUUGCGAUUGAUCAUACGUUGCCAGAUGCUGUCCUGUUGGAAAUUCUUCUUUACGUGAUCCUGGAGGAGGGGUGAUGCUACAUUAUUAAGUCUGUCUUUGGUUUGUUCCAAAUUCAGAAGUCUGCUGUACUGUAUACAGACUCCUUUCGAAAGAGGGCACAAUCCAGCUGGCUUGACUGAGUAUUUUCUUUUACAUAUUUGAUUAGAGGUUUAAAAAGGUGCCAUAACAUUACAUUUCUCAGUUGCCAUGUCUGAAUGUUUAUCUUUGUAAUAAUGCUGUUUUCAUACUCCUUAUCUCAAUAUACAGGUGGAACAAAAUGGAGAACAAGUCUAAGCCAUGUCAGGAAUUCAACAAAAUGUACACCCUGCAGACACUGCGACGAGGUUUACAUCAACUGCUUACCAGGUCACUGCAGUCACGCGGAUCGAGUACGUAUCCAGACCAGAUGGUGGAUCGCACCUAGAAAGGACCUCUACAUCCCUGAAAGACAGCGGAGACCAGGACAACUAGAGCCCCAGAUACAGAUCCCCUGUAAAGACCUUGUUUUUACUCCAUUUUGUCACCGGUGGAGUUUUGGAUCCUUGUCGCCUCUGGCUUGCUUCGUUGUGGUCACUUCAUUUACAGUGAUAUCAUUGACAUGAUUGCAAAUGAUUCCACAGAUACUAUUUAAACUGAACCGAGCUGAAGGAUGACAUCACUGAAUUCAAUGAUAAACUGCUUUUUAAACUGACUACAAACUGAGUUUACUAAUGUCCUUCUGCAUUAUUGACUGACACACUAUUUUCCUAUUUAAUACUGUAAAGUUGCUUUGCUUUGAUCUGUAUUAUUAAAAGCACUAUAUAAAUUAACAAUGCUUGACUUGACCAUGUUGCAAGAGGAAAAUGAGGGGAGAUGCACGUCCACCCUGGGUUUUACAGUGAUUGGUGCAAGAUGCUGGAGAAGUAACUCCGUAUACCUCAUCAGUUCUGAUCUAAGAGUCUUGAAAAUCCCUCCGGAUUUUUGUUAGUGAUUCUGAUUGAUAUUUUAGUCUGCUUGCUUACUGGAUAUAUUUUAUACUGUUUACAUUGUAAAGCACUGACUUUGACAACUUACUAACCCAGUUACAAAUUUAAAAGCUACUUUAUACUAUAUAUAUAUAUAUAUAUAUAUAGUUGUUUCUUGAAAUACUACAAAUAUAACCGCAAAUUAUGAUUUUAAAUAACGGUCUCUGAGAUUUCUCUCUUUUCAGUCAUUUGUGUAUAUAGCCUAUAAUAAAUAUACAACAUACACCCAGUAAGUGCCACUCUCGUAUAUAAAUAAAUAUAAAUACAAAUUGUUUUGUUUCACACAAACAAUGAUACAUGCAUGCAUAAACAUUCAGCUGGAAAUUAACGUUUAGCAAAAUGAUCUUAUUUCUUUGUUUAUAUUUGAUCAAUAUUUUAAAUCAAAUAAUAUACAAUACUGACCUUUAUACUUAUUUAAAAAAGUAUUAAACAUAAUCAUAAGCGUAUAUAAUUAUUUAUUUGUCUUGUUGCCGCCGGCAGCCUCCUCCAAUUUCCGGGUAUUAGCGACAGCUGCCAUCCGGUUUUAUUGGCAGCCACUUCCUGCUGCCAGUGACAGCCACUUCCUGCUGACAGCUGCCGAUUUUUCGCUGAACCCCCUCUCGUCCAUUUUGUCCAGCUGCUCGCUUUUUAUAAAUUUUCCUGCGUUAGCCUGCCCUACAUCAAGUGAUGUCACCAUUGCGACGUAAUAAUAGUAGCUAUUCCAAACGUAAACAGCAUUCCAUUCGCAUUCCAGAGUAGCCAAGUUCUGUUCACCAGCCAGUGAACGCCAAAAUGAUGCUACAGCGCUGGUUCUGCAUUCUAUUAAAGACUAGUGAAUGAUUGAAUCUAUUAGCCUACUGC